rnacentral:lncRNA from 1 species
UAAUGAGUAGGUAUUGAGAAUCUAUAUAAGUAAGGUCGUAAUGUUUUAUGCAAGUUAAGCAGAUGUUGAUGGAUGCUGUAAGGGCACUAAAGAAUUUGGUUAUGAAUAAAUAGAGUACCAAAGCUUUGUUGCCAUAAUUUUCUUGUUGUAUUUGCAUGGCUAAUGUAAUGAAGAAUAUGAUGAUAGGACGAGAAAAAGGAAGUAACUGUCCUGGAAAUAAAAAGAAAUAACAAAGCUAUAAGAAUGGGAACUUAAUAUUAUGCUUGUGAUUUCUAUAAAAUAUAUUAUUUAUCCUUUUCCCACUCUUUAAUAUCAUUAUUGUAAUAAAACUCAUAGUUUAUAUAUGUACAUGUAAGAUAGCAAACUAAAGUUGUAUUUUUCUCCUUAUGUGUUAUUUUAUCUUUUUUAUAGUUAGCAGAUUUUUCUUUUUGAAUAUGUAAAGGUUCUAUGACCAGAAAAUCUUAGGGUGAAAUUCAAACCAUUUAAAAUUAACAGCUUUAAUUUAGAGUUAUGUGUUAUCUUUUCUUGCUCUUGCAUAAACUGACGAGAAAGGACGAUUAAGACAUAUUUUUCGACGUUUUGAGUCUACUAAAUUCCUUUUGCGUCAAUUUAUCUGAAAGCACUUUGUUUGAUGUUUCAAUCUUUGUUCGAAUCGUAUUUUGUGAGUUUUAAUUUCCGAUAUGUUAUUUUACAUGGUUAGCCAACUGAGGAUAGAUAACAAACCCAUUUUCGUUGAUGUAUUUGUAAUUAUAUAACUAUAAUGUGACCAAGACACAUUGACAAGAGUUGUAGAUAUUGCUAAAAUUUCACUUUAUUGAGGAAAAGGUAAAUAUAGGGCUCUCCUAAUAAUUGAGUUCACACAUGAAAAACUUAGACAUUGAAGCUAAUAUACUAGUCUAAAAAGAGUGUCCACAUAGGCACAAAAAAUCAUCCAAUCAGAGAGCUCGAAUUUGCCACGUCAUAUCAUUUAUUUUUUCGUAAAAAAUAAAAAAACAAUGUAAAGGAGAGGAUCGAACCCGGGUUAGUAUGACAUAAAUAUAGGACAAAUACCACUAAGCCAUUGAAACUUUUUUGGACACAUAUACAAGAAUCACUAAAUAUGUAAUCACACUCUUAUGUACAUUUACAAUAAUAUGGAUUCAAUUUCCAAGACUCCGAUACUUUGUUUUGUAAAAAAAAAUAACUAAGUGACUAAGAUAAUAUAUUCUUUGAAAGUGUGAGAACAUUGACAAAUAUGAAAAGACAUAGAUUUUUGUUUUCGUGAAAAAGUUAAGAAUUUUGUAAAAGUAAGUUUAACAUAUAAAUUUUCGUGACAAAUAUGAAAAAACAUAGAUUUUUGUACAAUUUUGGCAAAACAACUCAAAACAUAAUUCCCUAAUGUCUUAAUAAAAUAUUAUUUAAGGGUGCGAUAAUUAAAUAUAUCAAUUCAAUAAAUUUUGUAAUUUAUAGACAAAACAAUAACACAACAAAUUUUGAAAUAUUUAUUUAACUAAUCGAUUUCUUUUCAUGAGAAUCCAACUAAAGAAGAUAGAAAAAAAUAAUUAGAUUUAUUUAAUUAUGAUUUUAUUAAAUUUUGAUUAAUUUCAAAUUGUAAUAAUGUAUCUUUUUGAAGUUACAAAAAAAUAAUGUUCUUUCUUUAUUACACUAGCAUUAUAUAUAGAUUCCAUAUACACAAAUAAAUAUAAUAUAACAACAUAAGCUUGCUUUCCCCGAUUCAUAUGAAAACUUUUAAGUUAUCCACCAAAACAAAUUAAUUAAAUCAAUCAAAUUGUUAGAAUAUAACAAAUUAAUAUAUAAUUUUAUUUUAAAUUAAAUUAUUUAAAAAGUGUAUUUUCAUUAAAAACAAAAUAAUAAAUAAGUAAAACUGAUUUAAUGGUAAUUUUUAUGACAUAUAUAUAUUAUGUGAAAGAAAUAUAAGCUUAAUAUGGAAAAAAAUCUUAAAUACAAAAAACUCUAAAAUUAACAAAAAAACAAAUAAAAAUUAAACUAUUAUAUCAAUUGAAAGCUUCUUAGACAAUAUUAAUAAAAUAUUUAAGCGAUAAUUAGACAAAUUUGAUUUUUUUUCAGCCAAAAGUUUAUUAUUAAUUAGCAUCAGUUAUUUCAAGAUGUUUAAGAAAUGAUGGACUUAAAUGAUAUAUGAACUAUGAAUAGUAGUACUUUGUAAAGCUGACUUAGAUAACACAUCUGCACAUUAUUUCCAGUCCUUUUUUAUGCCUAAAUUCAAUUUCUUCUGAGCAAUUAUUCCACAAAAAGAUCGUAUGAGAUAUUGUUUUGAUAUUCAGAUUUGUUUCUUGACUGUUAAGAAGAUUGAUAACUGUAAAAAUGUCUCCUUCGAAUAUUAUAUGUCUAUAACUGAAUCUCCAACAUGUGACAACUUUGUUUAAAAAAUAAAUAAUUUCAUUUUUUUAUAUUAUAUAAUAAAUAUAUAUUAUUUACUGAUAAUAAAAAUAUAGUUAUUCAUCUAUCACAAAUAUCUAUGCAAAUAUGUGAAUCAAGUACAACAAUCAAAUAACAUAAUUGUUUCCACAAAGAAAAUUUAUAAAAUAUAUUUAUGUUAUGUAGUCUUAUUUUAUAUUUUUUAAAUAAUGUAAUACAAUAUUAUAUAUUAUUUUUUAGAAUUAAAAAAUACAUAUAAUAUCUUAUACGCGCGUAGCGCGGUUAGAAAAUCUAGUUUCUAUAAAAGAUAUUAUUUAUCCUUUUCCCACGCUUUAAUAUCAUUAUUGUAAUAAAACUCAUAGUUUAUAUAUGUACAUGUAAGAUUGAAAAUUAAGGUUGUCUUUUUCUCCUUAUGUGUUAUUUUAUCUUUUUUAUAGUUAGCAGAUUUUUCUUUUUGAAUAUCUAAAGGUUCUAUGACCAGAAAAUCUUAGGUUGAAAUUCAAACCAUUUAAAAUUAACAGCUUUAAUUUAGAGUUAUGUGUUAUCUUUUCUUUCUCUUGCAUAAACUGACGAGAAAGGACGAUUAAGACAUAUUUUUCGACGUUUUGAGUCUUCUAAAUCCCUUUUGCGUCAAUUUAUCUGAAAGCACUUUGUUUGAUGUUUCAAUCUUUGUUCGAAUCGUAUUUUGUGAGUUUUAAUUUCCGAUAUAUUAUUUUACAUGGUUAGCCAACUGAGGAUAGAUAACAAACCCAUUUUUGUUGAUGUAUUUGUAAUUAUAUAACUAUAAUGUGACCAAGACACAUUGACAAGAGUUGUAGAUAUUGCUAAAAUUUCACUUUAUUGAGGAAAAGGUAAAUAUAGGGCUCUCCUAAUAAUUGAGUUCACACAUGAAAAACUUAGAAAUUGAAGCUAAUAUACUAGUCUAAAACUGUAGACAAACAAUCAUUGUUCCUUUCAGUUGUGUGCAGGGGAGUUAGGGAUGAUACGCGCACAAUUGUCCUUGAGGAGAGGAGGGAAGAAAGGAUUCAAAGGAAACAUAUGAGGCCAACAGUUUGCAUCUAAAGUUGAAAACACCUUGCAGCAUGCCGCUUCAACGUUUUCAAAUUUUCCAGAAAAAAAUGAGUUGGAGAUUGCCAGGACACAUCCUUGGACGGUAAAGAGAGACGACCAACAUUUGACGAGAUCAAUAGGUACUAAGCCAGGUGGAAAAAGUCCUGGAAUCGCCUGAGGAUUUUGCAUUUGAGCUACUCCACGAGUGACAAAGAUGGCAGCACACAGUGAAAUAAUUAAGUAGACUGAGACAACAGCUUUGCUUCCCAUCUUAUUGGUUAAUCUUUUUUUUUCUUGUCCUUUUUAUUUCGUUUAUGCUUAAAAGCUAGGAUGGAUUUUGAUAUGCACAGAUACUAAGAAUAUAUAGGGUGAGGAUACAAAAUUUUAUCAUAUAAAUUAAAGAGAAUGUACGGUAUCAGUUUUAGAAUUUCUUUCAAAAUGAAACUCAUGUUUAGGUUAAUGUAUUUUGAGUUACACUUUCAAGUUGAGUUGACCAAUAUAACUAUAGUAUGGUCAUAUUUACGUUAUCAAACAGAAUAUUGAAAGUUUAUUUUGACCCCCACUAUUUUAUAUUGUUUUUGAUAUUUGUUUUAACAUCUGUGAAUGUGUCUCAGCCUUAAGAUGAUUAACCUUAAAUAUUUCAUCUUAGGAAAACCGCAUGUAAAAUAGCAGCCGGUUUCUAAUUUUCUUAUGGUGAGUAAAUUUUCGUUUGAGGGACAUCAGGACAAGUAGGUUGUAAGUAGGUAUUGAGAAUCUAUAUAAGUAAGGUCGUAAUGCUUUAUGGAAGUUAAGCAGAUGUUGAUGCAUGCUGUAAUGGCACUGAAGAAUUUGGUUAAAAUUAAAUAAAGUACAAAGGCGUUGUUGCCAUAAUUUUUUUGUUGUAUUUGCAUGGCUAAUGUAAUGAAGAAUAUGAUGAUAGGACGAGAAAAAGGAAGUAACUGUCCCGGGAAUAAAAGCAAAUAACAAAGCUAGAUGAAUGGGAACUUAAUAUUAUGCUUGUGAUUUCUAUAAAAUAUAUUAUUUAUCCUUUUCCCACUCUUUAAUAUCAUUAUUGUAAUAAAACUCAUAGUUUAUAUAUGUACAUAUAAGAUAGCAAACUAAAGUUAUAUUUUUCUCCUUAUGUGUUAUUUUAUCUUUUUUAUAGUUAGCAGAUUUUUCUAGAUUGCCAAGACACAUCCUUGGACGGUAAAGAGAGACGACCAACAUUUGACGAGAUCAAUAGGUACUAAGCCAGGUGGAAAAAGUCCUGGAAUCGCCUGCGGAUUUUGCAUUUGAGCUACUCCACGAGUGACAAAGAUGGCAGCACACAGUGAAAUAAUUAAGUAGACUGAGACAACAGCUUUGCUUCCCAUCUUAUUGGUUAAUCUUUUUUUUUCCUUGUCCUUUUUAUUUCGGUUAUGCUUAAAAGCUAGGAACAAUCAUUGUUCCUUUCAGUUGUGUGCAGGGGAGUUAGGGAUGAUACGCGCACAAUUGUCCUUGAGGAGAGGAGGGAAGAAAGGAUUCAAAGGAAACAUAUGAGGCCAACAGUUUGCAUCUAAAGUUGAAAACACCUUGCAGCAUGCCGCUUCAACGUUUUCAAAUUUUCCAGAAAAAAAUGAGUUGGAGAUUGCCAGGACACAUCCUUGGACGGUAAAGAGAGACGACCAACAUUUGACGAGAUCAAUAGGUACUAAGCCAGGUGGAAAAAGUCCUGGAAUCGCCUGAGGAUUUUGCAUUUGAGCUACUCCACGAGUGACAAAGAUGGCAGCACACAGUGAAAUAAUUAAGUAGACUGAGACAACAGCUUUGCUUCCCAUCUUAUUGGUUAAUCUUUUUUUUUUCUUGUCCUUUUUAUUUCGGUUAUGCUUAAAAGCUAGGAUGGAUUUUGAUAUGCACAGAUACUAAGAAUAUAUAGGGUGAGGAUACAAAAUUUUAUCAUAUAAAUUAAACAGAAUGUACUGUAUCAGUUUUAGAAUUUCUUUCAAAAUGAAACUCAUGUUUAGGUUAAUGUAUUUUGAGUUACACUUUCUUUCAUGAAGUUGAGUUGACCAAUAUAACUAUAUUAUGGUCAUAUUUACGUUAUCAAACAGAAUAUUGAAAGUUUCUUUUGACCCCCACUAUUUUAUAUUGUUUUUGAUAUUUGUUUUAACAUUUGUAAAUGUGUCUCAGCCUUAAGAUGAUUAACCUUAAAUAUUUCUUCUUAGGAAAACCGCAUGUAAAAUAGCAGCUGGUUUCUAAUUUUCUUAUGGUGAGUAAAUUUUUGUUUGAGGGACAUCAGGACAAGUAGGUUGUAAUAAGUAGGUAUUGAGAAUCUAUAUAAGCAAGGUCGUAAUGUUUUAUGGAAGUUAAGCAGAUGUUGAUGCAUGCUGUAAUGGCACUGAAGAAUUUGGUUAAAAUUAAAUAGAGUACCAAAGCGUUGUUGCCAUAAUUUUCUUGUUGUAUUUGCAUGGCUAAUGUAAUGAAUAAUAUGAUGAUAGAAUGAGAAAAAGGAAGUAACUGUCCCGGGAAUAAAAAAAAAUAACAAAGCUAGACGAAUGGGAACUUAAUAUUAUACUUGUGAGUUCUAUAAAAAAAAUUAUUUAUCCUUUUUCCACUCUUUAAUAUCAGUAUUGUAAUAAAACUCAUAGUUUAUAUAUGUACAUGUAAGAUAGCAA